rnacentral:RNase_P_RNA from 1 species
ACGCAUUAGAAGAUGGUCGCUAUUUUAGAAUAGAGGAAAGUCCGGGCUACAUUAGACAAAAUUCCAUCUAACGGAUGGCUAGCGCAAGCUAAGGGAAAGUGCCACAGAAAGCAAACCGCCUUUUUAAGGUAAGGGUGAAAGGGUGGGGUAAGAGCCCACCAAGGCUAAAGCAAUUUAGCUUGUUUAGGCAAACCCAAUUUGUAGCAAGAAGCGCAUGGU